rnacentral:rRNA from 1 species
AAGCGCUUGCAACCAGACUUGCACGCGGUUGAUCAUCCGGUGUUCUCACCGGUGCACUCGACCGUGUUCAGGCCAGCAUCGGUUGUCGCGGCGGGAGAAAGGCGGCGGGAAUGUGGCUCUCUUCGGGGAGUGUUAUAGCCCGUCGUGUCAUACCGCCAGCGGCGACCGAGGACCGCGCUUUUGCAAGGAUGCUGGCCUAAUGGUUGUAAGCGA